UUAAUAUGGUGAUGAUAACUUAUAUUAAAUGAAAUGGUAGGCAUAUAGUAGAUUAACUUUUUGAUUCAUCAGUGAAAUUGUCUUGGAUACAUCCUUCCUGUUACUGAUUAUGGUUAUGCUGUUACUUUUUAUCAGGUAACAUGACAGAACGUAACAGAAAGGAAUUACGCAGUACUUUUUGUUCAUUUACUCGAAUUGUGUAGAAGUUUACUUCCAUCUACAUAUCAAUUUGAUAAGAUACUAUAAAAACAAAUGUACUGUUAUAGUGCUGACAAUGAAAUAUUCUCAGAAGGUACAUAAAAAUGCUGUAACAGGAGAGAACAAC
rnacentral:lncRNA from 1 species